rnacentral:rRNA from 1 species
GAGUUUGAUCGUGGCUCAGAUUGAACGCUGGCGGCAUGCCUUACACAUGCAAGUCGAACGGCAGCACGGGAGCUUGCUCCUGGUGGCGAGUGGCGAACGGGUGAGUAAUGCAUCGGAACGUAUCCUGGAGUGGGGGAUAACGUAGCGAAAGUUACGCUAAUACCGCAUAUUCUGUGAGCAGGAAAGCGGGGGACCUUCGGGCCUCGCGCUCUUGGAGCGGCCGAUGUCGGAUUAGCUAGUUGGUGAGGUAAAGGCUCACCAAGGCGACGAUCCGUAGCAGGUCUGAGAGGAUGAUCUGCCACACUGGAACUGAGACACGGUCCAGACUCCUACGGGAGGCAGCAGUGGGGAAUUUUGGACAAUGGGGCAACCCUGAUCCAGCCAUGCCGCGUGAGUGAAGAAGGCCU